AUGGGUCGGGCAGAAAGGUGCUGGGUCAAGGGGAGGAGGGGGCAGCCGGGAGCGCGCGCACGCUCUGGACUCGUGCAACCGCCAAAACGGUUUGUGUUUAAGGAGAAACUAACAAUGAAAACGGCCUCGUUGACGGAGGAAAAGUUGGAAUGCAGCCUCUGGUGCUGUUUGAGCGAUCCCUCUCCCCGGGGCCUGGCCGCGCGCUGCUGUGUUCUGGAAGGGCUCAUUGUACAGUCAAGGCGGCAGGAAUCCUCUUCAUCUUUCUCACCAAUAUGUUUUGUGGACUCUGACGAGCCAAAUCUGACAUCAGUUCUGGAACAUCUAGAAGAUACUAAGAACAACCAUUCAGUGAAGAGAGAAGCCAAGCUAUUUUCUCUUUUCCUCAUGAACAUUAUAUUUAGAAAUUAAAUGUUAAGAGAUAAUAUGAUAUAAUGUUAAGAGAUAAUAUGAUAUAAAAGCAUGAUUAAUGACUAUAAUCUUAGAGGAAUUAAAGUCUGGGUAUUUUAAGUCCUUCAAA
ensembl:lncRNA UBE2Q2P13 UBE2Q2 pseudogene 13